UAUAAUUUGAACAAAGAAUUUUUUUUCAGAAUUUAAAAUGAAUGAUUCAGAUUUCAUAUAAUCAAGUAAAUUUGAACUAUUUAUUUUAAAUUCUGAAUUUUUUUCUAAGUUCAAAUUAUGCGACAACAGAGAUUCUCCAAUAUUAAUGGUGAUAAUAGUAUUUUAAAUUAAAAUACUAAAUUAAGAUUCGAGUCUAGACACAUACAUGGAGUGUUUUAAGUUCAAUCCUAAGGCAAGUAAGAGAAAUUGGGGAAUGGAGUAUGAAAUGGGAGACAAGGAUGAAAUUGGAAUAUGAAUCAAGCUUUCUAGUCAUGCAUAAUAUUCCCACCUCUCUCUCUCUCUCUCUCUCUCUCUCUCUCUCUCUCUAAUUAUUGGAUUUGCUUGAUAAUUCCUCGAAGCAUCCACACUUGCAUGGGAGAUUCGGUUGAGAUUGAAAUAUCAAUACACUGAACCAAAUACACCAUUCUUUCUGGCGAGACUCAUAAAAAAUUGAAAUAUCAAUGAUCUUACCAAAGCUCUAAAAGAAACCCCCUCUCUCUCCCUCUCUCAAUAAAAUUUACUCAAUUUUUUUUUUUAAAUUUAUAGAAACUACUAUGGUUUAGUUUUCAGAAUUAAUUUUACAACACAAUUUUUUAAAACUAUUUUCAAAAUAAAAAUUAACAUUUUCAUAUAUUUUUAUUUUUUAGAACUGAUUUUUCAAUAUUUAAAGUCACCUAAAAUUUUCUAAAAAAAUAUUCUGUUCUAGGAAAUUCUCCUAAAAAAAAAAAAGUUUUGAAAACCGUCAACUAAAAAUAUUAUGCAAAACUAAUUCUGAAAACUAGGUAUAAAUGCUUUUAUCCUGUUUCCAAGAAAAUCUAUACCUCCAGACAUGUUAAAUUUUUGGAAAAUGAUUAACAGUUCUUCUUCAUCAGGUCCUCCACCUCAUAAGUUUGUCAUUCCUUUGUCUUGUUGUGAUUCUACUCUAUCUUCAAUCUUACCUACUAUUCCUACUCCAGUUUACUCCACUUCUACAUUUGUUACUUCAUCAUCUUAGUCUUCUUCUUCGAUUUCUUCUUCAUCUAAUGCUGCUGCAUCUGCUGCUUCCUCUCCUGAUUCUAACCCUCAGUCCACCCCUGCUCAGGCAACUCCCUCCAUUUCUCCUCCAUCUACAAUUGCUCAAGAUGCACAUGGUUCUAAACAUCCUAUGAUUACUAGAUCCAAACUUGGCAUUGUUAAACUUAGAGUUCCCUUAUGUCUGGUUACUGUUGCCCCAACUGCUCCUACUACUGAACCCCACACUUUUUCUGAGGCAGUCAACCAUCAAGUGUGGCAGCAAGCCAUGGAUCAAGAGUAUGCUGCUCUUACCCAUCAAGGCACUUGGUCUUCAGUGCCUUGUCCUCCUAAUGUCAACUUAAUAGGGUGCCAAUGGAUUUUUAAGAUUAAAAGGAAUUCUGAUGGUUCAAUUGCUAGAUAUAAAGCUCGAUUGGUAGCCAACGGUAAUCAGCAGACGUAAGGCAUAGAUUUUACAGAGACCUUUAGUCCUGUUAUCAAACAGCCUACACUCAGGGUAGUGUUGUAUUUGGCUCUCUCAAAUCACUGACCUUUGUGACAAUUGGAUGUCUCCAUGCAUUUCUGUUGGGAAAAUACGGCAAUAACAGAAUUCCAAAAAAAAAUUUCCAAAAAUAAAAAAUAUACAGUAAACUGAAUUUACAAUUUCAGAACAGAAAAAAAUGAGAUACAAACAGAAUUAAAGCCGAGUCUUGCAAACACAAUCUCCUUAAGAAAGAUUCACCGCCUACCGAGGGGUUGUAGACUUUGCCGGCGUCUUACUCUGUGAUAAAAUGGUUAGACUGCAUACGUCAGAAUACCACCAAAGUAAGCUUUGGUGAACUUGAACUCACGUUUGUCUCUCUCUCAAAACGAAAAGCAAAAGUAUAUAUGAAAGUAUAAAACUCUGUUGUGUUCUUGUGUGUUUGUGUCUCUUCCAAUACAAGAACGUCAAUAUAUAUAUAUAUAUAUAGACAGAAGGAAAAAGACUUGUGAGUUACUCAAGUAAAUAUACAAAACUGCCAGAAAUUAUUUAGCCCAUAAAUUCCACUUCAUGAGAGUAUUUACAACCAAAACGGCUGUCUUCUUGAGCUGGCUGUCCAAGUUUGACGAACCUGGAGGUGAUUGUUUGGUUCCCUCGGGAGACUCUAUGAAUGUCCCACUUCAUUCAUACCAAAAUUUUGUAAAUUUCCAAUAAUUUCUUCCUGGUGUUAUUGAGGAUUCUGUGUAUAUGUAACAACCCAAGGUUUGUUGAUCCUGGUCAUCCUAAUUAUUAUGUUUACUGAGGUUUCUCUCUAGGAUUCGUAAUAUUAAAGAACUAGUACUACACACCAUAAUGUUUGCAUGGGAUUCUAUCGCAGCAGAAGUAACAUUUACAAUAUGGACAACAGGUGACAUACUGGAAUAAACCUGCAAUCAUUAAAUUCAAAAUUAAAUGACAAUGAAAGAAUAUCACAUAGACAACCACCGAAUGCUAAAUAAACAGACAAUCAAGAAACAGCAAACAAACUAUGAGAAACUCAAAUGUUGAAAAUGUUAUGAAGACUGAAGAGUGACUAAGAUUUUUAUCCUCUUAGCAAAUAGUAAUGAGAAGAGGAGAGAGGAGAAUGUGUGUGUGCGCGCACGCGCGUGUGUGAGAGAGAGUUUUCACCUUGCGUAUAGAAACUUCAGAACAUUAAGUUGAAUAACAACCAUGACACAAAAGGAUUAGGCAAUUUAAUAGUAAACAAAUAAAAGGGAAUCAAUGGCAAAAAAAAAACUAGAAGAUAAAAUAUGAAGAAAUGGGAAGAUCACAAGAACAAUAUGCAUGCGUGUUUGAAUGUAACUUACAAGAAGGCGUUGAUCUGGUGAAAGAGAUGCAUCGGUCAUUGUCCAUCGCAAGCUUUUCACUUGAAUAUCCUUCUGAACUUUCCAUUCAUUAUCCACAUUAUAUAUUCUAAUUUCACUUUCCUGUUUGACGAAAGACCAAAAACCAUAUGAUAUAGUUGUGUUAAGUAAAUCAUCCUAGAAAAAGAUACAAUUCAAUGGACAGAUGGUCAUCAAUAUCUUCAAAUCAGAUGCAUACCUGACACCCUGCAACAAAAAACGACCAUCCUCUGAAAACUGUGAAACAUAAGCACAGCUCCUCAUCAUAUCAAUCUUCCGAGGACCAUUGACAUGCAAAUAUCGGCUUAAAAUAUGACAACUAUCGGCAGAUGAGAAUCAACCCCUCCCUGAAUUAGUUAACUUCUCGGAAGAGUAACAUUUUCACCGGGGAAACAGGCACCUUCGAUUUGCCAGCUAUGGCUCGACUCAAAAACUCAUUGGCUCCCGACCUAAGUUUCGUGAGUUGAGCAAUAUCGUGAUCAACCCGAUGGAACAUUGCCCCCUUGACUAGUACCUAAUCCUCGAGAGCCCCACUCCCACUGUCACAGGUAUUUCUAUCAUCAUUUCGUGACCUACUCAUUUCAUACAAAAACUGAUUUGUCUAUCCUCCCUGACUAUAAAAUACACUUGAAUUUAUAAAUUAAGCCCUGCAAAACUAAGCAAGCAUAUGGAGCUUCAUAUCACCAGAAAUUAGGUCUAACCACAGAUAAUCCUGCAAAUAGCAAGUCUGAGAGAGAGAGAGUGAGAGGCCUUUAACAGUUGAACCAGUCAUAAACUUCAAUGAUUUACAUAGCAACCUUUAACAAGUACGUUUUACUCCAACAAUCACUGAAGUUCUUCUUCUAUUGGGACCAAAAAUAAAAUUACAAGUGAAUUUAAAAAACUUCAAAUUGCGAAACACACGAUGAUAUGACGAAGAAUCUGACCUAACAAGCGCCCAUACAGAUAUACAAACUCGUGCAAGCACAUCAAUGCUUAUACGUAUACAACAUGUUCUAACCUAAAAUUCAACCUCUAUUUUCUUCAAUUGCAAACAAUCGGAUCAGGAAAUCCACAAAAUUGAGGGAAACGAAUUAAUUCAAAGAUUGGAAGAAUGAUCACCUCAGUAUCAGCAGUUUAAAGGCGAUCAUAAGCCCUCGAUAGUUGAGAUAAGACUGAUGAGUGCUGUUUGGAUUCGGGGAAACUGUUUUCCAGGAAAGACUGAAAGUGGGUAUGCGAGAAAAAGUUGAGACCGACGAGUUUCGGAGAAGAAUGGGAAUCGGAAAUUUAAACGUCUACUUUCUUAUUUUGGGUACGGAAAAACCGCCAGUGCUGAGGGAGUCACGUAGCAAUAUUAUUUAGUAGUUUCGGCGCAUAUAAUUCACGCUGUGUCAACCAAUUGUAAGAAGACCCGUAAGAUUCAGCCCAUAUGAUUUACUAGGGUUAAUUUUAUAACACCCUCAACUAUGACCGAGUGUCAUUUAGUCCCCCUCAACUAGAAAACUGAUCAAACAGCCCCUUGGAACUAUUGAAUAACAAAAUUGUCUUGACUCUGUUGAUGGAAAAAGGCUAAAUGACCCAAACAUUUUAAUAUUUUUUAGGGUUGUUUACUAAAAUUCCUCAACUAUGAGCGAUUAUAACUUAACUCUCUCGAAU
rnacentral:lncRNA from 1 species